UAGAUGUUCUUAGAUGGACGUGGAGUAAUUGGUCCCGAGCACACAUGUGCCCGAUAUCUCCUCCGUUCGCUAAUGCAUGUGGAUGUGGGCCAAUAGUUUAUACGGUGCGUUAAGGGCAGCUCGUAAAAGCGGACUGCAGUGAAAUACGUAUGCGUCAGAGGCGGUUCGUGGGCCGGGCUAGCAGCGUGGGCGGACGGGUUUCUGGGCGGCCGUCGACCGCCGACGAGGUGAGCCGUGGAUCAGGUUCUCGAUUUCCGUCUGCUCCGUGGCUCAGAAAAGUCGCUGCUCCACGCAUUGAAUGCAAGGUGUGUCUGUUCUUCCCCAACGCGGCCGUCAUUUUGGAGAUUCAGAGGCAAGGAGGGGAGAGAGUGGAAGAACAGGCGACCGACAGGAUGGAUUUCCUCAUGCAAUCAGGAGAUCCAAUCGGAUUGAGGAGGUUGGGGGAGAGUCUAGUGCUGGAAGGGUUGCCGGCACAUGGCGCCAGGCGGACAGUGGUCAAGUUGACGCUGCAGGAGGCCACGGGCGUGAGCGCCAAAGGGCGGAUCUGCGGCGUGGCUGAAGCGGCGGCAGUGGCAAGGGGCAGCGGCAGUGACAAGGGGCAGCCCGCCUCUGACUUCCGAGCUGUCGACGGGGAAGAUGAAUCCUCAGGCUCCUCGUUGGAACAAGAGUUUGGUUGAAUUUCUGCUGGGAGUACUCUGUGACAUGAAUUAGCGUGCAAACUCACUGUUCUGAAUUGAAAUAAAUUCAACAUUGCUAUGAAGAUUUACGGUUGAGGAUUGGAGCUUCUGCCCCAAGCUUGACACCUUGCUCACCCCGCGUAAGCGCUUUUGAGAAGGCAGUUAGGGUCUUCGUAGAAAACCCAACUGAAGAUGAGCCGUGGCUUGUAAUUUGGCGGUGGUAAUCUGGUUCGCGGACCAGGAAAUUCACUCUCUGUUAGGUGGAUGGCUUGAAUCAUUCACUGCAGGCCGGUGGCUCCCCGACUGCGGUAUCCAAAUCCAUUUCCAGUCAGCGGGGUGCUGCAGCGCACAUGACUCCAUUCCAGCGAUGGAGUUCCUAAUGCAGCCAAUUAGAAGGUAUCCUAUUGUGGAGGAGGUGAGUGAGAGUGAGCAGGAGAUGAAUCUGCCAGCAAACAGGGCGGUGGCGACUUUCCCGAUAGUGGAUGAACCGUCGGCGGCCUAUCCACGCAGAUGUGUGAGUUACAGACUGCCGUGUUGGGAAGACGGAAGAGCCCGUCGCAGCAAUCUGAACUAUCAACUGGUAAGAUGAACCUGCAGGCGCUGUGAUGGUCUAAAAGGUGCGCGCGUGUAAGCUUAGAUUGGAUCUGAAUUUAUUGAGAAUGCUUGAAUGAAAUUGUAGUAGAAUGCAUAGAUCUAUCGAUGCAGUGACAUUCAUUCGGUAGCAUGAGAAAUUGUCUACAUGGCACUUUUAGAGCAUGUUUGUAUUAAUAAUUGACACACUGUACUAGUUGAAAUUAGCUCAUGAUUGAGCAAUUCUGAAGAAAAAGAAGUACAUGCCGUUCGGACAAUUUGUCAGUUUGAAAAACCAUAACCAGAGUGUGAUCUUAGCUGGCGUCCUGGUACACGAUGAGACCGUGUAGAGUUUUGAGUGGUUUUUUACUGAAUUCCUGAGGAUUAUGGGACCUGUAGCACCAAGGACAAUCCUAACAGGUAUGUUGAUUAAGGACAUUUCUUAAAAAGAGUACUUGAAGAUGGUGCUGGUAGUAUGAUGAUAUGAUUGUUUCUUGUUUUUGUUCAUGUGCAGACCAGAAUCGAGCUGCAGUUAACAGUGUGAUGCUUGUUGGUGUGCCGAUGGCUGGGGCACAAGAGAACUACUUAUCCAGAUCGUGGCGAUGUGCCAAAUCAGCCUUGGAAGCCGACGAAGUGCAAAAAUUGUGGUGUGGUGGGGCACCAAAGGAAUAAUUUUACGAAAGCAAUGGACCUGAGGUUAGCUGGUGACGUGUGGUGGUGAGUGAAAAAUGCCAAACGAUUUCAGCAAGUUUGAAUGGUCAAAGUGUGACUUGUUUUCUGCAUUCGUGAUGUGUUUGUGCAACUGAGCACCUGCCCUGCGUGCAGGCAUGCUUUAUGUCUUGAGUUGUAAUACAAAUGUAUUCAGUGAUGCAUUAGUGGGUGCUGUGAAGUAUCUAGGGUUGAAAAAAAAUCCUUUUUCAGUUGGGUUUAUGGAAGGUGAACUGCUUAAUUAGAUGAAACCAUGCAAGUGGAUUGACUUUUUAUAAUCAGUUGUUGUUUUGUAUGCUUGAGGGAAGUCUACAGCCGGGCAGAUGGAUAUAGUCGUCAGUGCGGGCGACGACGGCUCUAUGGUGACCUUGCAUGCAGGUAUGUUGUCAAUCAUUUGUUGAUGUUUCAGUAAUAAGUGUGUUGUUCUCGCGUUGAACCCCUUGCAAAAAAAAAGUCAUGACACAAGGGUUGCCCUGUUUGGAAAACGCUGUUAAGUACUCCCUCCGUUCCUAAAUAUAAGUCUUUUAGAGAUUUCACUAUGGACUACAUACGAAGCAAAAUAAGUGAACCUACACUCUAAAAUAUGUCUAUAUACAUCCGUAUGUAGUUUGUAGUGGAAUCUCUAAAAAGACUUACAAUUAGGAACGGAGGGAGUAGGUAGCAGCAGAUGAUGCAGAGGGGCACUGUCGAGCAAGCGUCAAAUGUGGCAAUGCAGAGUGAGGAUGCAAUAAAGUAUUGGACUGACGCUUCAGAAGGCGUGACACUUUCCACUGGACUAGGCGCCGGAAUAUGAUCCAGUCAACCUGGCGACUGUUGAUGUUGUUGGGGAGGGCUAAGGUGAUUAUGAUCCAGUAAUGAAUCGUGGAGAUGAGUCGAACAAAUUGUUUGGUGUCGGCGAUGGAUCCGUCAUCCGUUGCUGGAAAUGGGUGCGUUAUUCCGACGAGGAGUACGCAGAAGUGAGCAAUUCUGAACCAAAACGACGGCGGCUCGUUUAGGGAAGAACUAGGAUCAGUUUGCUGGCGUUGCGUCGGGUAAUGAUGUCAUUACCCGCCUAGUGCUAGUGGUGUGAUGUAAUCCAUGUACAAGUUUGUUGUGCUGUCAUAGUUAAUUAAGAUCCAUAAUCGUCAUAUCA